UACGAAGGUGGCUAGCUUUGCUCGGAAUUACUGGGCGUAAAGGGUGCGUAGGCGGAUGUUUAAGUCAGCGUUGAAAGCCCAGGGCUCAACCUUGGAACUGCCAUUGAUACUGGACAUCUUGAGUACGGGAGAGGUGAGUGGAACACCGAGUGUAGAGGUGAAAUUCGUAGAUAUUCGGUAGAACACCAGUGGCGAAGGCGACUCAGUGGCCCGUUACUGACGCUGAGGCGCGAAAGCGUGGGGAGCAAACAGG
rnacentral:rRNA from 1 species